AUGGCGGAAGAGCAGGCAGCUGAUAAUACUCAAGCAAAUCCCACCUCUCCUGUACCCACUGGCCUUCCUAUUAACUGGGGUCUCAUUACUGGCCCUGUUCCCGAGCCAGUUUUCCCACAGAGUUCAACUGUGUUUGUACUACAGCCAGAGAAUAAGGGCAGAGGGAGACCGGCCACAGUGGAACAGAUAUCUUCUGAUGUUCCUCUCAGACCCAGACCAAAGGGAAAAGGACAAUCUUCCUGGCGAACAGGUGCUUGCAAGGAUUUAAGCAGCAGUGAUGAAGAGGAGGAGGAGGUGGAAGUACAAGUUCAGUUGGAGAUCCACAGUCCUCCGGCUGAAGCAAAAGCAGAGAACGAUAAAGAUAAAACUAACAAUGAAGACAGUCCGGCUUUUUUUUACACUGGAAAGCCAUAUGGCCUCGGAGAAGGUACCAGUCAAGAGAGUCUGCUGUCAGACAACUCAAACAGCAGUAAGGACGUUCCUCCUCCUCCUCCUCCUCAACAAUUAGUCCCUUCUUCCGUGACUACCUCUGCUACAACAUCACCAUCCACUGCCUCAUCAUCAACAAGACGCUGGGCCCCUCCAAAGGGCUUCUGGAGAGUAGCACGCCCAGAAACACUGCUUCUCAAUGGGGUUGGCCCACACGACAUGCCAUCCAGUUUACCCGUAAUAGAUUACACACAGAUUCAAGAUUCUCUGAUAAAAACAAAGACCUAUGAAGCUGAAAAAAGACAUGAUAAAAAUAUUCCAGUGAGUGUUGAUGAUACAUCCACAGAGAUAAAGCCCUCGGGCAGUGUGGAGUGCUGCCUGGAUGGUUAUGAGCAGAAACUGGUGAAUACAGCAGAGUCAGAGACCAACAUCAACGCUAUGGCUUCUCAAAGUCUUCUACGCUCUGCUGAAGAUAAAGAGACGGUAAAGGACAGGGCCUAUUCAAAGCUGAGGGAACGACAGAAAUACUUGAAUGAAGACAGAGAAGAGCGUGGAGGUGAAAGUGAAAACACCCCACUA
rnacentral:lncRNA from 1 species